rnacentral:rRNA from 1 species
GACGAACGCUGGCGGCGUGCUUAACACAUGCAAGUCGAACGGAAAGGCCCUGCUUUUGUGGGGUGCUCGAGUGGCGAACGGGUGAGUAACACGUGAGUAACCUGCCCUUGACUUUGGGAUAACUUCAGGAAACUGGGGCUAAUACCGGAUAGGAGCUCCUGCUGCAUGGUGGGGGUUGGAAAGUUUCGGCGGUUGGGGAUGGACUCGCGGCUUAUCAGCUUGUUGGUGGGGGAGUGGCUUACCAAGGCUUUGACGGGUAGCCGGCCGGAGAGGGUGACCGGCGACAUUGGGACUGCGAUACGGCGCAGACUCCUACGGGAGGCAGCAGUGGGGAAUAUUGCACAAUGGGCGGAAGCCUGAUGCAGCAACGCCGCGUGCGGGAUGACGGCCUUCGGGUUGUAAACCGCUUUCGCCUGUGACGAAGCGUGAGUGACGGUAAUGGGUAAAGAAGCACCGGCUAACUACGUG